rnacentral:tRNA from 1 species
GGAGAGGUGGCUGAGCGGUUGAAAGCACCGGUCUUGAAAACCGGCAGGGGUUAGCGCCCCUCGAGGGUUCGAAUCCCUCCCUCUCCGCCA